rnacentral:rRNA from 1 species
AACGAACGCUGGCGGCAGGCUUAACACAUGCAAGUCGAGCGCCCCGCAAGGGGAGCGGCAGACGGGUGAGUAACGCGUGGGAAUCUACCCAUCUCUACGGAAUAACGCAUGGAAACGUGUGCUAAUACCGUAUACGUCCUUCGGGAGAAGGAUUUAUCGGAGAUGGAUGAGCCCGCGUUGGAUUAGCUAGUUGGUGGGGUAAAGGCCUACCAAGGCGACGAUCCAUAGCUGGUCUGAGAGGAUGAUCAGCCACACUGGGACUGAGACACGGCCCAGACUCCUACGGGAGGCAGCAGUGGGGAAUAUUGGACAAUGGGCGCAAGCCUGAUCCAGCCAUGCCGCGUGAGUGAUGAAGGCCCUAGGGUUGUAAAGCUCUUUCACCGGUGAGGAUAAUGACGGUAACCGGAGAAGAAGCCCCGGCUAACUUCGUGCCAGCAGCCGCAGUAAAAC